GAUGAACGCUAGCGGCAGGCUUAACACAUGCAAGUCGAGGGGUAUAGUAGCAAUACUAGAGACCGGCGCACGGGUGCGUAACGCGUAUGCAAUCUACCUUUUGCAGAGGGAUAGCCCAGAGAAAUUUGGAUUAAUACCUCAUAGUAUAGAACAAUCGCGUGAUUGAGCUAUUAAAGUCACAACGGCAAAAGAUGAGCAUGCGUCCCAUUAGUUAGUUGGUAAGGUAACGGCUUACCAAGACUACGAUGGGUAGGGGUCCUGAGAGGGAGAUCCCCCACACUGGUACUGAGACACGGACCAGACUCCUACGGGAGGCAGCAGUGAGGAAUAUUGGACAAUGGGCGCAAGCCUGAUCCAGCCAUGCCGCGUGCAGGAUGACGGUCCUAUGGAUUGUAAACUGCUUUUGUACAGGAAGAAACACCUCUACGUGUAGAGACUUGACGGUACUGUAAGAAUAAGGAUCGGCUAACUCCGUGCCAG
rnacentral:rRNA from 1 species